UGUGCCUAAUUAAACUGAAGUUCGCGUGACAUGUUCGUUCGCAGCUCGUGGGCAAGUUGACGCUCCAGUCGUUUUCCAUCCAACACAACAUUUGUAAGCCAGCACUCGUCACUGUGGUCGAGACGCCAUUUUCAUAAUAAGGGCAUCGUCAUGCACUAUCCCGACGGGCUUCUCGAAGCAGAAAGCGAGCAAAAGUUCGCAGUAACACCUGCAAAGGUCUACAACGGCAGCGCCCUCGCCAAUUCGCAAGCGGCAGAAGGAAUGAAACACAUCCAGUGGGGUACAGCUGAGUAGUAUACCUGGGAAGUAUUACAAGUUCAGGGUGAGAAAAGUAUAUUCUUGGCUUUUUAAAGGGUAUUUUGCAUGGCUGUGAUCGA